ACGAACGCUGGCGGUGUGCUUAAUACAUGCAAGUCGAACGAAGCUUUCGGGCUUAGUGGCGGACGGCUGAGUAACGCGUAGGUAACGUACCUUUUACUGGGGGAUAACACCGGGAAACCGGUGCUAAUACCGCAUAAGUCACUUAUUGAGAUAUAAGUGAUUAAAGAUUUAUCGGUAAGAGAUCGGCCUGCGUCUGAUUAGCUAGUUGGUGGGGUAACGGCCUACCAAGGCGAUGAUCAGUAGUUGGUCUGAGAGGAUGACCAGCCAGAGUGGGACUGAGAACGGCCCACACUUCUACGGAAGGCAGCAGUAGGGAAUUUUGCGCAAUGGGCGAAAGCCUGACGCAGCAACACCGCGUGCGGGAAGAAGGCCUUCGGGUUGUAAACCGCCGUCGGCAGGGAAUAAAUUGACUGUACCUGCAAAGGAAGCACCGGCUAACUACGUGCCAGCAGCCGCGGUAAGACGUAGGGUGCAAGCGUUGUCCGGAUUUAUUGGGCGUAAAGAGUUCGUAGGCGGUUGUCCAAGUCUGGUGUUAAAGCCUGGAGCUCAACUCCGGCAUGGCAUUGGAAACUGGAUGGCUAGAGUGUGGUAGAGGUUACGGGAAUUCCUGGUGUAGCGGUGAAAUGCGUAGAUAUCAGGGAGGAACACCGGUGCGCGAAAGCGCGUAACUGGACCACAUUACUGACGCUGAGGACCGAAAGCUAGGGUAGCAAACAGGAUUAGAUACCCUGGUAGUCCUGGCCGUAAACGAUGGAUACUUAGGUGUGGACGGAUUCGACCCCCUCCGUGCCGUAGCUAACGCGAUAAGCAUUCCGCCUGGGGAGUACGGUACGCAAAGUCUGAAACUCAAAGGAAUUGACGGGGGCCCGCACAAGCGGUGGAACAUGUGGUUCAAUUCGACUGCAACGCGAAGAACCUUACCUGGGCUGACAUACGGAAUCUCUAGUGACCGUAGGGAGUGCCUUCGGGCUCGCUAAGACUGCUGCGAGGUGCUGCAUGGCUGUCGUCAGCUCGUGUCGUGAGAUGUUGGGUUAAGUCCCGCAACGAGCGCAACCCUCAGGUCCUAGUUGCUACACGGUCGAAGAUGCUGAACACUCUAGUGCAGACUGCCGGUCGAUAAACGGGAGGAAGGUGGGGAUGACGUCAAGUCCUCAUGCCCCUUAUGUCCAGGGCUACACACGUGCUACAAUGCCCGGUACAAACCGUCGCAAACCCGCGAGGGGGAGCUAAUCGGAAAAAGCCGGGCUCAGUUCGGAUUGCAGUCUGCAACUCGACUGCAUGAAGCUGGAAUCGCUAGUAAUCGUGGAUCAGAACGCCACGGUGAAUACGUUCCCGGGCCUUGUACACACCGCCCGUCACAUCACGAAAGUGGGCUGUACUAGAAGUCGGUGAGCGAACCGCAAGGACGCAGCCGCCCAAGGUAUGACUCAUGAUUGGGGUG
rnacentral:rRNA from 1 species